rnacentral:lncRNA from 10 species
CCAUGCUGAUUUGAGGGAAGAAAUACGUUGUUUUGUCUCUCUCCCACUUGGUCAUAAAAUUGCUGUUAUGUAUGUGAAAACGGCCAAAUAUACCAUAGACCCCAGAUUAGGAUCAGUCUGGUGCCUCUGAAAAUGUGAAUUGAGAAGAACUGAAAGAAAAUCUUUCCCUGGGGAGACUGCAGCCGAAACACCCUUCUGACGAAUGUGCUGACCUAAUCUAAGCCUCAAUUUCCUUCAACAAGGGAUGCAUCGCUCACUUCCCUUGAGUUGUGAGAAUGAAACAAGAUAAUGCGUUAAAGCCCUUGGCCCAGUUCCUGGCAUGUGGCGAGCUCUUGGUCCAUAAGCAAAUCUUCGUAUUAGUGUGAGUUCCUGGUCCUCCAUGAAAGAACAAAGCUUUUGGCCUGUAAAAUCUAAUUUCUGGAAAUGAGAAGCACUAAAAAGAAGAGGAGUGGGGACGGAGUGGGGAGGCACUUGGAAGGCUCCUGUUUUGUUUUGUUUUGUUGACAAAUUCAUUCUUCAUCUUAGCCAGCGCCAUGGAGUGAGUCCAGCUCUCUGUGUCUGGCCCCGCUGUGAACCCCCUGAGGCUAUCCACAGUUGGAUAUCUUCCUGUUCCUUCCCUGCCCUACCCUCUUCAAAUGCAAACUUGGGGGGGCUCAAGAUUAUUCCAUACCCUUUAUCUCCAAGCUAGUCCAUGCCUGUUGGUAUAGACAUCUACCCUACACACACCUGCCCGCACCCUCUCUAUUCUCAUCUCCUUUUUUGUUCUUCAUCUCAAACCUCCACACUGCUGCUCAAAAAUGAACAAAGGUGAAUGAGGAAACCAGGGCAUCAUGACACCUAAAAGAUCUUUGUGACUUCCCAGUUGUUGAAAGACAUGAUUGGGAAAGAGUGACUGAGUGUGCAAGGUGGAUUCCAACCCAGAUCCUCCGGGGCUUGUAAGAGUUGAGAGAAAAGCAGUAAGUGUCCCAAUAAAU